UACGUAGGUGGCAAGCGUUAUCCGGAUUUACUGGGUGUAAAGGGCGUGUAGGCGGGACUGCAAGUCAGAUGUGAAAACCACGGGCUCAACCUGUGGUCUGCAUUUGAAACUGUAGUUCUUGAGUACUGGAGAGGCAGACGGAAUUCCUAGUGUAGCGGUGAAAUGCGUAGAUAUUAGGAGGAACACCAGUGGCGAAGGCGGUCUGCUGGACAGCAACUGACGCUGAGGCGCGAAAGCGUGGGGAGCAAACAGG
rnacentral:rRNA from 1 species